rnacentral:rRNA from 1 species
GGUUCCUUAGAUCGUACAUGCUACAUGGAUAACUGUAGUAAUUCUAGAGCUAAUACAUGCCACUAUGCCCUGACCCGCAAGGGGAUGGGUGGAUUUAUUAGAACAGAACCAACCGGGGGUGGUCUCGGCCACUCCUGUUGCCACUCUGUGAUGACUCUGGAUAACUUUACUGAUCGCAGUCGGCCCUGUGUCGGCGACGGAUCUUUCAAAUGUCUGCCCUAUCAACUGUCGAUGGUAGGUGACCUGCCUACCAUGGUGAUAACGGGUAACGGGGAAUCAGGGUUCGAUUCCGGAGAGGGAGCCUGAGAAACGGCUGCCACUUCCAAGGAAGGCAGCAGGCGCGAAAAUUACCCACUCCCAGCACGGGGAGGUAGUGACGAAAAAUACGGAUACGGGACUCUUAAGAGGCUCCGUAAUUCGAAUGAGUACACUUUAAAUCCUUUAACGAGGACCAAUUGGAGGGCAAGUCUGGUGCCAGCAGCCGCGGUAACUCCAGCUCCAAAAGCGUAUAUUAAAGUUGCUGCAGUUAAAAAGCUCGUAGUUGAAUCUGGGUCGUGUGGUCACAUGCCGUUGCUCGUUCUCCUGGCUUGAUUUCGGUCGAGUUUGGGGUUCGGGUCGGUGUAGUGGCUGCGCAGCCUUUCAGUCGUGUCUGUGUAAACGGGUGCUGGCUGGGUUGGCGGGUUCGUCCUGUCGGCCUGCUGGCAUGCUUCCGGAUGCCUUAAACGG